AGCAGUAUUGAACUGAAGAGUUUGAUCAUGGCUCAGAUUGAACGCUGGCGGCAGGCCUAACACAUGCAAGUCGAGCGGAUGAGUGGAGCUUG
rnacentral:rRNA from 1 species